UACAGAGGUCCCAAGCGUUGUUCGGAUUCACUGGGCGUAAAGGGUGCGUAGGCGGUCGGGUAAGUCUGAUGUGAAAUCUCCAAGCCUAACUUGGAAACUGCAUUGGAAACUACCUUGCUCGAGGGUUGGAGGGGGGACUGGAAUGCUUGGUGUAGCAGUGAAAUGCGUAGAUAUCAAGCGGAACACCAGUGGCGAAGGCGAGUCCCUGGACAACUCCUGACACUGAGGCACGAAAGCUAGGGGAGCAAACAGG
rnacentral:rRNA from 1 species